rnacentral:rRNA from 1 species
UACGAAGGGGACUAGCGUUGUUCGGAAUUACUGGGCGUAAAGCGCACGUAGGCGGAUUUGUAAGUCAGGGGUGAAAUCCCGGGGCUCAACCUCGGAACUGCCUUUGAUACUGCAAAUCUCGAGUCCGAUGGAGGUGGGUGGAAUUCCUAGUGUAGAGGUGAAAUUCGUAGAUAUCUGGAGGAACACCGGUGGCGAAGGCGGCAUCCUGGACCGACACUGACGCUGAGGCGCGAAAGCCAGGGGAGCAAACGGG